rnacentral:lncRNA from 10 species
GAAGUCUCGCUGUCGCCCAGGCUGGAGUGCGGUGGCGCGAUCUCGGCUCACUGCAAGCUCCGCCUCCCGGGUUCACGUCAUUCUCCUGCGUCAGACUCCCGAGUAGCUGGGACUACAGGCGCCCGCCAUGAUGCCCGGCUAAUUUUUUGUAUUUUUAGCAGAGACGGGGUUUCACCCUGUUAGCCAGGAUGGUCUCAUCUCCUGACCUCGUGAUCCGCCCGCCUAGGCCUCCCAAAGUGCUGGGAUUACAGGCGUGAGCCACCGCGCCCGGCCUAAUAAAGGACAAUUUUUAAUAGCCACUGGACUAUUUAAGUGAUCUCUUCUGUCAGUUUCUUUUACCAUCAGAGGACACAGCAGCAAGGUGCCAUCCUAGAAGCAGAGAGCAGACCCUUACCAGACAACCAACCAGCUGGUGCCAUGAUCUUGGACUUCUCGGCCUCCAGAACUAAAUACAGAUUUAUCUUUGUUCCAUGCCACUCCUGAUAGACAUUUACCUCCACCUUGGAAGAAUACAAAGGACUCCACUUAAAAGGCAAAUCAAGCCAAACCUUAUAAAGACAAGCCACAGACUUCAGGUUACAUGUUUUGAGUUCUGCACAAAAUAUUUGAAUGGGUGCUUCAUAAAAGAUGAUAUAUGAGGACUUGGGGCAGAACAAGAUGGCAGAAUAGAAGGCUCCGCCAAUUGUCCCUGCUUCAAGGACACCAAUUUAACAACUAACUACAUAAAAUAGCACCUUUAUAAGAACCAAAAAUCAGGCACUUAAACACGCAGCAUGAGGAAAAUGGAACAACAAUCUUGAGGUGCCUUCUGAAUCAUCAGAUUAAAUUAUGCUUCGGUCUUGCACUGCUGCCUAGGCUAGAGUGCAGUGGUGCAAUCAGGGCUCACUGCAGCCUCACUCAACUUCCCAGUCUCAAGCCAUCCUCCUACCUCAGCCUCUGUUCCACUAAUCUACUUGUCAAUUUUUCCAGCAACACCACACCCUCCUGAUCACCAUAGCUUUAUGUUUCUUACAGCAACAACAAGAAACAAAUUUAUUAGCUAACCUAACCACUAAUGACGCAAGAGACAAUUCUAAGGACUUUCAAAACAGCAAAGUAGGAGCAGCUGCUACCUCUAGGGAUGAGGGAUGCAAUUGUCCAAUUAUUGGUGAAAUUGUCAUUUCAUGCUAUUGGCUAUUUGAAAUUCCUCCUCUAAUUUCAGAAUAAAUCACUGAAAUUGACAUCGGCCAGUCUGAAUUUCAAGAAAUUACCUGCUGAAGACAAGAGGGAUCUCUUCUUCAGAUUUGCAGUCUGGGGAAGACACAGCCUCUACUGUACUUUAGAACCUGAGAUAUGGUGGUGGAGGGAGCCCUGGGUCGAGUGGUAAGAUUCACCCUUAGGUUAGUAUUGACGUAAGGUGACGAGGAGCUGUAGACAAAAGAUUGUAACCAUAAGAACUUCAUAGUUUUUGUAUUUUCACCGAGCUUAUAUUUGGUGUGUUUUUUGUCUUUUCUUUAUGAUUAUCAAUAAAAUGCUUGAAAGGAGAUGAGGUUGGGGAAUAAUUUUUGGGAAUACCACAAAAGACACUUUUGUGAUGGAAAUCCUUAAAAAGACACAAUCCAUUACCUCAUUGGGUUCAAAAGGCAAUUGUGAACUACUGUGGAGUUUGGAAAGAAGCAAUGAGGUAAUCAAGGAUACUGUUGACAAUCUAGCUUAUCCUAUGGAUGGAAGGAAAUUGAAACUAAUGGAGGCGAGGCUGGUAAAACAAUAGGGUUUGAGACAAUUCUGUGGCAUUAGAAAUGAAAGAGGAAGGUGAAUCCGGGAGACGGAGCUUGCAGUGAGCUGAGAUCGCGCCACUGCACUCCAGCCUGGGCGACAGAGCGAGACUCCAUCUCAAAAAAAAAAAAAAAGAAAGAAAGAAAAGAAAGAGGAAGUAAUAAUCUGUGAAAUUUUUCCUUAGGAACUUAUUGGCAAUUUAAAAAUGAAUUUGUUAAGCCAUGCUGGUUCUGACCCAAAAGCCAUUCCCCAGCCUUCCUCACUCCCCUCUUUCACUACUGGCAGAGAUUGUCUCUCAUUUUACAAGCUGAAAAUGCCAGAUGCUUGCUUUUACAGUCUUCCUUACACCCAGAGCAUGUGCAUAUGUUUAAACGGUCAAGAAGAAGUCAUAACAUGGGUGUCUGGGAGAGCUUUUAUCCCACAAAAACAACACUUCACUCAAAAAACAAACCAAACAAAGAAAAAUUCUCCUUCCUGCCAUUGGAUGUGAGGCUCAGACCUCUAGUAACCAUUUUGUGACCACAAAGCAACAAGCCUGAGGAAAAGUCCUACACGCUGAGCAACAGGCAGAAAUAUUGCCAUCGCUGAGUUGCAGAAACAAAUCUAGAGAUGUUUUGCUUCUGUAAUUAUUUUUUAUGGGAGAUUACAAGUGGGUUUACUGUUCACUUUUCAAAUCUUAUUUCUCUAUGAUGUUUAGCUUGGGUAAAUUUUACCUUAAAUCCACUUUUUUAUGUAAGGUAACAUAUUUGUCGGUUUCAAGGAUUAAGAUGUGGGCAUACUUGGAGGCCAUUAUUUUGCCCACCACAGGUGAAAAAGGAAGUGUUAUUCUUAAAUCAUUUGGAAGGAUCUCUGUGUAAAUGCAAGAGCGAGACAAGAAAAUGCUGUCAUUCUUUUGAUAUGGACUCGAAUUUCCACUUCAUGGUUGUCUGCUUCCUUUUUAGAGUAUUAUUUAUCCUCCUAAUAAAAAGAAAGUGAAAUUUCCCAUUUCUUUACAUUUGUUGGCUUUUGGUUAGUCAUUUUGAAGAAGACCUUUGGAGAGGACCUAAUAUUGUAAAAGUGAUAGAUUUAGAUUGUUCUAAUAACAGAGUUAGUAGGCUUGAAUACAAUCCUUUUUGUAUUUAGAAGACACAGAACUCUGUUGCAUGAGGUUUAUAUCCUUUUUGAAGCAGGAGAAUUUGGUUACAUAGCAAUAGAAAAAUUUAGUAGGACAAUUUAUUUUCAAAUUAGGGCAAGAGAAAUGCUUUUUUCUCUGUUAAGUAGUUAACAAAAUGAUUAAUUUUAUUAACUCACUAGAGCAUAAGAUAAAUUUUGAGAAAGUCUCCAGAUUUUGUGUAGUUAUUGCCUAAAACACUUUACAUGGCUUUGGAACCUUGUGCUAUAUGGAUUACUUAGCUAUGGCUUUGAUAGCUUUUUGGCUAGGAGAGACUUCAAUAAUUAAACUGAUAAUUGCUUUAAUCUGGGCUUUGUUUUUAUAUCUACUUCUGGCUUCCACUUAAUGGAGGUAGAGAUACUAGCUAGCAGUCAAACUACUUAUGCUAUAGAUAUUGUGUUAGGAAAAACAACUUUUUAUUUCUUUUUAAGAAAUGUUUUAAAAAUCAAUGUUUCUCUGGAAAUUUACAGUCUCCUUGGAGAGGAAUGUCUAUAACAUUAAAUUUAUUGUUGAUUUUAACCUCAUGCAAUCCAUGUACAUGGCUCUUGCUCAUCCUCCAUUACUUUAUUUUGUUAUUAUUAUUGUUUUUACACAGAGCCCACUUAUGUGUGCAUGAAGAACAAGACUAUUUUAAGCAACUGAACAAGGUAUCACUGCAACCUGGGAAACAACUUUGAUCCUUCAAUUUCUCCACAAUUAAUUCUGUGGCAGGUAGCUUAGGAAUCCCAAGCAGGCAUAGAAACCAUGAUGAGGUCUCCUGUGCAAACCUCUCCAGAUCUGAAACAGCCCCUGCAAAUGCUGAUUGCUUGCAAAUGCAACUGUCUAGGUUACAUACAAAAUGAACAUAAUAAGUUUUUAUUUCCCAUGGUGAUACACCAACAGCUACAUUCGGCUUCUAAUAGUCUGCAAUUCAGUAAUAAUAGCUUGGUUCAGUUUAGUUUAUUGAAGACAUAAAAAUACUUGGCAGCCAGAGGCUGGAAUGCAUGGUUCAAGGGAACAAGAUUCCAACAGGGACCACAGGACCUGUACGUGGAACAUGGGUAUACUCAGCAUUUAGCAGCUAUGAUUUAUUCAUUUGGUGAAAAGCAGCAUUCCAUAAAUAUGAUUUAUGUAAUUACUGAGGAGGGAAUUCAAUCUCUAAUUUUAUAGAAGGGUACCUCAGAAUUUUGUUGCACACACCUCACCUUUUUAAUAACAUUUCUUUUGGCAGAAAAUAUUUCAAUGCCUCACUUUUCUCAGGAGAAAACUCUUCAUUUUCAUCUUUUAGAGAGGAAAGAAAAAAAAUAUCAAGUUGCUUUUCUCAGUAACUGGCUUGAGAGCUUAGGCAUUACACAUCUCUGCUGUGAAACCGAAGGAUUUCUUGAAUUCAGCUCAAAUAUCUUAAGCAGAGCUAUUUGGGUAUAAUUUUUUAAUCAAAAAUGUAUCUUCUAGAGGUGAAAAUUUAAAACUUUAGACUGGAAAAUAUUCAUUUAACAUAAGAUGCCGUUAUUAGGUGCUAGAAAGUUUAGAUAAUGUUGGUAAUGAAAUCCACCAUAUUUUUAUUUAUCUUCCACAUUAAUGAAACUCGCUUAAUAUUUGGACUAAGAAGACCUGGGCACAAUUAGCACUGUAUCUCAACUCAACUAUGCAACACACUUGACCGUAUGAGCUUCAGGAAUCUGUUGGCUUCCCUAAGCUUUGGUUUAUCCAUUUACCAAAUGAAGAGUUUGUCAGCCAUCUGCCUUAUCUGCUACCUCACAGAUGUGUUUUAAGUAUACCUGAAUAUCAAAUAGAAUAAUAAAUGCAGAAAUGGUAGGUCAACUUUACAGAAUUUUGUGAGCUUUUAUUAUUUCAUAAAAAGUAGGCCAGUGACACCAUGAAGAUAUGUUCUUUGAGCUGUUCCUACGUUGGUAACAGUGGCAUUACACAAUUCCACAUACUCUGCCAGCCUCUUUGUUGCUUGUGAUACAAAAUUGUAACUAGUGAUGAACCAAGGAUUAAGGUAGUCUGUUACUAUAGUCAUGGGAGACAAUCUGGGAAUGACACAAAGAAUCCUGGUUCAAGAUGGAGGUCUUUCAGUGUGUGAUUUUGGGUAACUCACUGAAUUUUUUUAAACCUCAGUUAUCUCAUCUGUAAAAUAUUUGAAUAAAACCCCUUGAUACUGUGCCUCCAGACUGCUCCAUCAAAAGAAGCAAUGGAAACUCUUUGGAAACCUAAAACCCACAAAUGGAAAUUGUUAUCAUUUAUCUUAUAUUUGGACAUGCUAACCUUUAGCAUUGACAAAUGCCAUUAUGUAAAAUACAAUUAUUUCCUCAUAAAAGCUUAAUGCUGUACUGGUGAAGGAGAUAAUCCUUUCUGUUUGUUUUCUAUGAUAAACAGCUUUCAGUAUAAUUGCAGUAAAUAAAAUCUGUAAUGUCUUUAUAAAUCUUUAUUUAGUCAGAACCAUGACUAUUUCAUAUAGUGACCUUUUCUUUUGAAAAUGAUGAGUCUUCUUUGUCAAUAAAAACUUGAGGAGUUUACAAACAGAC